rnacentral:rRNA from 1 species
GAGUUUGAUUCUGGCUCAGGACGAACGCUGGCGGCGUGCCUAACACAUGCAAGUCGAGCGGAGACAUAAGCGGAAGUUUUCGGAUGGAAGGUUAUGUUUUAGCGGCGGACGGGUGAGUAACGCGUGAGGAACCUGUCCUUCACAGCGGGAUAAGACGGCGAAAGCUGUUCUAAUACCGCAUGAGACCACGGUACCGCAUGGUACAGGGGUUAAAGGAGCAAUCCGGUGAAGGGUGGUCUCGCGUCCGAUUAGAUAGUUGGCGGGGUAACGGCCCACCAAGUCGACGAUCGGUAGCCGACCUGAGAGGGUGAUCGGCCACAUUGGGACUGAGACACGGCCCAGACUCCUACGGGAGGCAGCAGUGGGGAAUAUUGGGCAAUGGGGGGAACCCUGACCCAGCAACGCCGCGUGGAGGAAGAAGGUUUUCGGAUUGUAAACUCCUGUCCUUGGUGAAGAGGAAGAGACGUAGCCAAGAG